rnacentral:lncRNA from 1 species
UAAUCUCCAAAAAUUAUUUUAUUGACGAACACAAAUCAAAGUAAUUUUUUUUUUCAUUUUUAGUUAGAUCACAUUUUAGAAUUGUGGGAAUAGAUUAAAAUUUUUUAUUUUUUUUUAUUUUUUAAAUAAAAAUAUUAUUAAUUAUUCACCAAACCCGCAAAUCGAGCAAUAAUAAAAAAUACUGAAGAAUAUAAUGAUUAUGUAACAUAAAAUAAUAAAUUUUAUAUUAAAAAUAAAAAUGAUAUCUACAUCAAACUUAACAAAAACAUAAAAGAAUACGAUCCAAAUUACUUCUUUCAAUUUUUUGUUUCUUUCGGUAUUGACUCCGCUUUGUAUAAUAUGGGUUUAUCGAUAAUAUGAUACAAAUUACUGGUAACUUUUCG